GGCGGCAUAGCCAAGUGGUAAGGCAGAGGUCUGCAAAACCUCCAUUCGGGAGUUCGAGUCCCCCUGCCGCCU
rnacentral:tRNA from 1 species